UAGAAAAUUCUUUUUUUUUUUUUUUGAGAAAUAAAUAGCAAGCUAUCUACUUCAUUUAUUAAGCGAAAUGAACUAAGCGUAUAUAAUGGAGACAGUUAGAACCUUCUGAAAGAGCUGAAAAAUACAAGAAAGAAAACCUAAAAUAAAGAACUCUACACCUACCGAUUAGACAAAAUAAAUAAAAAAAGCGGGGUGGAUAACGAAAAGGAAGAAGUGGGGACCGAGCAUGGAAGAAGGGACAAUCAAGGGUCAAAGAGCUCCGUUCCAGACAUUGGUCAAAGAAGCGACACGUUCAAGAGCCCGGGUAGCAUUGGAAAGUACCUCGCGGAAGAUAGUGUUGUUGCGCUCAGUCCAGACGACCAACCAGAUUGCCGCCAAACGGAUUAAACUUUUCGAUCUCGUAGCGGCAUCAUACUUAGAAAAUUCUACACAUGAAGUUGUAUAUAAUGUGCACCUUUUUUUAUUCUUUGAACAUUUGAUUGCUUUGCGUUUGCGCUUCACCGUUUCGUUAAUUUUUUUUGGAAAUGAGAUUAGCUAGAAAUAUGAAUCAACUAGGAUUCGAAUUUAAAACCUCGGAUACCAACCACCAAGUCCCUUUGACACUUGCGUUAGGGACAGUCGGUUGCACCUUAAUUUUUUAAUGUUAAUUAAAUGCUUUAAU
rnacentral:lncRNA from 1 species